rnacentral:rRNA from 1 species
GAUGAACGCUGGCGGCGUGCCUAAUACAUGCAAGUCGAGCGAACAGACGAGGAGCUUGCUCCUCCGACGUUAGCGGCGGACGGGUGAGUAACACGUGGAUAACCUACCUAUAAGACUGGGAUAACUUCGGGAAACCGGAGCUAAUACCGGAUAAUAUAUUGAACCGCAUGGUUCAAUAGUGAAAGACGGUUUUGCUGUCACUUAUAGAUGGAUCCGCGCCGCAUUAGCUAGUUGGUAAGGUAACGGCUUACCAAGGCGACGAUGCGUAGCCGACCUGAGAGGGUGAUCGGCCACACUGGAACUGAGACACGGUCCAGACUCCUACGGGAGGCAGCAGUAGGGAAUCUUCCGCAAGGGGCGAAAGCCUGACGGAGCAACGCCGCGUGAGUGAUGAAGGUCUUCGGAUCGUAAAACUCUGUUAUUAGGGAAGAACAAAUGUGUAAGUAACUAUGCACGUCUUGACGGUACCUAAUCAGAAAGCCACGGCUAACUACG